AAUUCAAACAUAACAGCCUUGUACCAGAGUUUAGACGUCUAGCUUUAUGAAAAGAUAAACAAAGCAACGUUUUUAAUAAAUGUACAUGAAGUAACUAAUGUCAACAUGGA